rnacentral:rRNA from 1 species
AUUGAACGCUGGCGGCAUGCCUUACACAUGCAAGUCGAACGGUAACAGGUCUUCGGAUGCUGACGAGUGGCGAACGGGUGAGUAAUACAUCGGAACGUGCCCGAGAGUGGGGAUAACGAGGCGAAAGCUUUGCUAAUACCGCAUACGAUCUCAGGAUGAAAGCAGGGGACCGCAAGGCCUUGCGCUCACGGAGCGGCCGAUGGCAGAUUAGGUAGUUGGUGGGAUAAAAGCUUACCAAGCCGACGAUCUGUAGCUGGUCUGAGAGGACGACCAGCCACACUGGGACUGAGACACGGCCCAGACUCCUACGGGAGGCAGCAGUGGGGAAUUUUGGACAAUGGGCGCAAGCCUGAUCCAGCCAUGCCGCGUGCAGGAUGAAGGCC